rnacentral:lncRNA from 1 species
UGUCCGCCUGGACCAGUACUUGGGCCUAUCUCAUUUUGGGUUUUUGGCCCAAUUCUUGCCAUUUUUGUACCUGUCCUAAACCUCUAACAAAAUAAUAAUAAUAGAAGUAAAAGGGCUUAGGCCCAAACAUAACAAAAUACAACUUUUAGAAUCAAGAGUGGGCCUUUGGCCCAAUCUUUCCAAAUUUUCGAUCUGCUGCAAUCUGUUGCAUACUCUUCCAGGACCUGUUUAUC